GCCAUCGUGGCGCAAUGGUAGCGCAUCACCUUCCUAACCAGGGGAACGUUGUAGGUGGCGGUUGCGGGUUCGAGCCCCGUCGAUGGUA